GAAAUGCGAUAAGUAAUGCGAAUUGCAGAAUUUCAGUGAGUCAUCGAAUCUUUGAACGCACAUUGCGCCCUUUGGUAUUCCGAAGGGCAUGCCUGUUCGAGCGUCAUUAUCAACCCUCAAGCCCCCUCGGGGUUUGGUUUUGGAUGGCUUGGUCGGUCAAAACGACCCGUCCUAAAGACAAUGACGGCGGUGGACGUGAUUGCACCCGGUACACUGAGCUUCUUUAUUGAGCAUGUAUCAGGACGCAGCCGACCCUCCGGUCUUCUCCCUCACGGGAACCUUUUUUACAAGAUUGACCUCGAAUCAGGUAGGAAUACCCGCUGAACUUAA
rnacentral:misc_RNA from 1 species